UACGUAGGGUGCAAGCGUUGUCCGGAAUUAUUGGGCGUAAAGAGCUCGUAGGCGGUUUGUCGCGUCGGCUGUGAAAACCUGGGGCUCAACCCCGGGCCUGCAGCCGAUACGGGCAAGCUAGAAUUCGGUAGGGGAGACUGGAAUUCCUGGUGGUAGCGGUGAAAUGCGCAGAUAUCAGGAGGAACACCGGUGGCGAAGGCGGGUCACUGGGCCGAUAUUGACGCUGAGGAGCGAAAGCGUGGGGAGCAAACAGG
rnacentral:rRNA from 1 species